CCAUCCCUGAUGUUAGCGGCGGACGGGUGAGUAACACGUGGGUAACCUGCCUGUAAGACUGGGAUAACUCCGGGAAACCGGGGCUAAUACCGGAUGGUUGUUUGAACCGCAUGGUUCAAACAUAAAAGGUGGCUUCGGCUACCACUUACAGAUGGACCCGCGGCGCAUUAGCUAGUUGGUGAGGUAACGGCUCACCAAGGCGACGAUGCGUAGCCGACCUGAGAGGGUGAUCGGCCACACUGGGACUGAGACACGGCCCAGACUCCUACGGGAGGCAGCAGUAGGGAAUCUUCCGCAAUGGACGAAAGUCUGACGGAGCAACGCCGCGUGAGUGAUGAAGGUUUUCGGAUCGUAAAGCUCUGUUGUUAGGGAAGAACAAGUACCGUUCGAAUAGGGCGGUACCUUGACGGUACCUAACCAGAAAGCCACGGCUAACUACGUGCCAGCAGCCGCGGUAAUACGUAGGUGGCAAGCGUUGUCCGGAAUUAUUGGGCGUAAAGGGCUCGCAGGCGGUUUCUUAAGUCUGAUGUGAAAGCCCCCGGCUCAACCGGGGAGGGUCAUUGGAAACUGGGGAACUUGAGUGCAGAAGAGGAGAGUGGAAUUCCACGUGUAGCGGUGAAAUGCGUAGAGAUGUGGAGGAACACCAGUGGCGAAGGCGACUCUCUGGUCUGUAACUGACGCUGAGGAGCGAAAGCGUGGGGAGCGAACAGGAUUAGAUACCCUGGUAGUCCACGCCGUAAACGAUGAGUGCUAAGUGUUAGGGGGUUUCCGCCCCUUAGUGCUGCAGCUAACGCAUUAAGCACUCCGCCUGGGGAGUACGGUCGCAAGACUGAAACUCAAAGGAAUUGACGGGGGCCCGCACAAGCGGUGGAGCAUGUGGUUUAAUUCGAAGCAACGCGAAGAACCUUACCAGGUCUUGACAUCCUCUGACAAUCCUAGAGAUAGGACGUCCCCUUCGGGGGCAGAGUGACAGGUGGUGCAUGGUUGUCGUCAGCUCGUGUCGUGAGAUGUUGGGUUAAGUCCCGCAACGAGCGCAACCCUUGAUCUUAGUUGCCAGCAUUCAGUUGGGCACUCUAAGGUGACUGCCGGUGACAAACCGGAGGAAGGUGGGGAUGACGUCAAAUCAUCAUGCCCCUUAUGACCUGGGCUACACACGUGCUACAAUGGACAGAACAAAGGGCAGCGAAACCGCGAGGUUAAGCCAAUCCCACAAAUCUGUUCUCAGUUCGGAUCGCAGUCUGCAACUCGACUGCGUGAAGCUGGAAUCGCUAGUAAUCGCGGAUCAGCAUGCCGCGGGUGGAAAU
rnacentral:rRNA from 1 species